rnacentral:lncRNA from 1 species
CUUUACUAGCUUCUGCCAGCGGUUUCACCCGCAUCCCGUGGGAACUACUUCCCGUACCGGGAAAAAACCUAUAGCCUUCCUCGAUAAAUGGGCUAUCUAACACUGAAAGAAAUUUUCAAAUCGGACCAGUAGUUCCUGAGAUUAGCGCGUUCAAACAAACAAACUCUUCAGCUUUAUAAUAUUAGUAUAGAAGUAUAGAUUA